rnacentral:tRNA from 1 species
GCCUUCGUGGUAUAGCGAUCAGCACACUCGGCGCGUAUUCGAGAGGUCCGUGGUUCGAGUCCCGGUGAGGGCA